GGCUCAGGACGAACGCUGGCGGCGCGCCUAACACAUGCAAGUCGAACGAGAGAUGAGGAGCUUGCUCUUCAAAUCGAGUGGCGAACGGGUGAGUAACGCGUGAGGAACCUGCCUCAAAGAGGGGGACAACAGUUGGAAACGACUGCUAAUACCGCAUAAGCCCACGGCUCGGCAUCGAGCAGAGGGAAAAGGAGCAAUCCGCUUUGAGAUGGCCUCGCGUCCGAUUAGCUAGUUGGUGAGGUAACGGCCCACCAAGGCGACGAUCGGUAGCCGGACUGAGAGGUUGAACGGCCACAUUGGGACUGAGACACGGCCCAGACUCCUACGGGAGGCAGCAGUGGGGAAUAUUGCACAAUGGGGGAAACCCUGAUGCAGCGACGCCGCGUGGAGGAAGAAGGUCUUCGGAUUGUAAACUCCUGUUGUUGAGGAAGAUAAUGACGGUACUCAACAAGGAAGUGACGGCUAACUACGUGCCAGCAGCCGCGGUAAAACGUAGGUCACAAGCGUUGUCCGGAAUUACUGGGUGUAAAGGGAGCGCAGGCGGGAGAACAAGUUGGAAGUGAAAUCCAUGGGCUCAACCCAUGAACUGCUUUCAAAACUGUUUUUCUUGAGUAGUGCAGAGGUAGGCGGAAUUCCCGGUGUAGCGGUGGAAUGCGUAGAUAUCGGGAGGAACACCAGUGGCGAAGGCGGCCUACUGGGCACCAACUGACGCUGAGGCUCGAAAGUGUGGGUAGCAAACAGGAUUAGAUACCCUGGUAGUCCACACCGUAAACGAUGAUUACUAGGUGUUGGAGGAUUGACCCCUUCAGUGCCGCAGUUAACACAAUAAGUAAUCCACCUGGGGAGUACGACCGCAAGGUUGAAACUCAAAGGAAUUGACGGGGGCCCGCACAAGCAGUGGAGUAUGUGGUUUAAUUCGACGCAACGCGAAGAACCUUACCAAGUCUUGACAUCCUGCGACGCACAUAGAAAUAUGUGUUUCCUUCGGGACGCAGAGACAGGUGGUGCAUGGUUGUCGUCAGCUCGUGUCGUGAGAUGUUGGGUUAAGUCCCGCAACGAGCGCAACCCUUAUGGUCAGUUACUACGCAAGAGGACUCUGGCCAGACUGCCGUUGACAAAACGGAGGAAGGUGGGGAUGACGUCAAAUCAUCAUGCCCUUUAUGACUUGGGCUACACACGUACUACAAUGGCGUUAAACAAAGAGAAGCAAGACCGCGAGGUGGAGCAAAACUCAGAAACAACGUCCCAGUUCGGACUGCAGGCUGCAACUCGCCUGCACGAAGUCGGAAUUGCUAGUAAUCGUGGAUCAGCAUGCCACGGUGAAUACGUUCCCGGGCCUUGUACACACCGCC
rnacentral:rRNA from 1 species